rnacentral:lncRNA from 1 species
GCACUCAUUCUCCAAGCCCACAUGUGAUCCGAUUCAUCCAGUACACCAAGUGUCCAGGGACAUCUAGAUGAUAGAAGUUCCUUCAGAUGGGUCCCUGGUGUGAGGGUGUCCUGUAUCAGACUGCCUAUUGAAGUUCAACCUGCGGUUCAAGACAGGAUCUCAUUCAGAAUACUACUUUCAUUCAGGCUGGAGUGCAGUGGAACGACCUUAGCUGUCUGCAACUUCCGCCUCCUGGGCUCAAGCGAUUCUCCUGCCUCAGGCUCUGGAGUAGCUGGGACUACAGGCAUGCGCCACAACACCAGGGGAAAAAAAAAACCAACCAACAAACUGAGCCUGAAACUGAUAACACAGAUACGUACAGCAUCAUAUUUAAGUAACCAAUCUAAAUUAUUGCAGUGGAGAUGUUUUAUUGGUGGGAAAUAGAGUAUCACACCAUUUCAGACAUCAGGAGAUAAUUAUCCCUCUCUUCUCAGAACCAGCUUCUUCAAAGGAGUCAGGAAUUAUUUAUGAUAGAAACUACUGAAACAAUACUAAGGAGUUCAUAGGUUGCUGAGAAGGUAGCUUCCUGCCCUCUGCUUGAGGAACACAGAUGGAAGAAAGGAGAAGAUCUGGUCCCCACAGCUCCUGAAAUGCUGAUUAAGCAUUAUGGGAUUUAAGGUUUCCUGGCCAAGUCUGAGCUAAAAUGUAACAUUCCUGAAGAACACCAUAAAGAAAGAAAA